AUCUGGCUGAUGAGUCCCAAACAGGACGAAACGCGCGUCCUGGAU
rnacentral:hammerhead_ribozyme from 1 species